rnacentral:rRNA from 2 species
UUAAGCGACUAAGCGUACACGGUGGAUGCCCUGGCAGUCAGAGGCGAUGAAGGACGUGCUAAUCUGCGAAAAGCGUCGGUAAGGUGAUAUGAACCGUUAUAGCCGGCGAUGUCCGAAUGGGGAAACCCAGUGCAAUUCGUUGCACUAUCGUUAACUGAAUACAUAGGUUAACGAGGCGAACCGGGGGAACUGAAACAUCUAAGUACCCCGAGGAAAAGAAAUCAACCGAGAUUCCCCCAGUAGCGGCGAGCGAACGGGGAGCAGCCCAGAGUCUGAAUCAGCUUGUGUGUUAGUGGAACGGUCUGGAAAGUCCGACGGUACAGGGUGAUAGUCCCGUACACCAAAAUGCACAGGCUGUGAACUCGAAGAGUAGGGCGGGACACGUGGUAUCCUGUCUGAAUAUGGGGGGACCAUCCUCCAAGGCUAAAUACUCCUGACUGACCGAUAGUGAACCAGUACCGUGAGGGAAAGGCGAAAAGAACCCCGGCGAGGGGAGUGAAAAAGAACCUGAAACCGUGUACGUACAAGCAGUGGGAGCACCUUUAUGGUGUGACUGCGUACCUUUUGUAUAAUGGGUCAGCGACUUAUAUUCUGUAGCAAGGUUAACCGUAUAGGGGAGCCGCAGGGAAACCGAGUCUUAACUGGGCGUUAAGUUGCAGGGUAUAGACCCGAAACCCGGUGAUCUAGCCAUGGGCAGGUUGAAGGUUGGGUAACACUAACUGGAGGACCGAACCGACUAAUGUUGAAAAAUUAGCGGAUGACUUGUGGCUGGGGGUGAAAGGCCAAUCAAACCGGGAGAUAGCUGGUUCUCCCCGAAAGCUAUUUAGGUAGCGCCUCGUGAAUUCAUCUUCGGGGGUAGAGCACUGUUUCGGCUAGGGGGUCAUCCCGACUUACCAACCCGAUGCAAACUACGAAUACCGAAGAAUGUUAUCACGGGAGACACACGGCGGGUGCUAACGUCCGUCGUGAAGAGGGAAACAACCCAGACCGCCAGCUAAGGUCCCAAAGUCAUGGUUAAGUGGGAAACGAUGUGGGAAGGCACAGACAGCCAGGAUGUUGGCUUAGAAGCAGCCAUCAUUUAAAGAAAGCGUAAUAGCUCACUGGUCGAGUCGGCCUGCGCGGAAGAUGUAACGGGGCUAAACCAUGCACCGAAGCUGCGGCAGCGACACGAUGUGUUGUUGGGUAGGGGAGCGUUCUGUAAGCCUGCGAAGGUGACCUGUGAGGGUUGCUGGAGGUAUCAGAAGUGCGAAUGCUGACAUAAGUAACGAUAAAGCGGGUGAAAAGCCCGCUCGCCGGAAGACCAAGGGUUCCUGUCCAACGUUAAUCGGGGCAGGGUGAGUCGACCCCUAAGGCGAGGCCGAAAGGCGUAGUCGAUGGGAAACAGGUUAAUAUUCCUGUACUUGGUGUUACUGCGAAGGGGGGACGGAGAAGGCUAUGUUAGCCGGGCGACGGUUGUCCCGGUUUAAGCAUGUAGGCUGGUUAUCCAGGCAAAUCCGGAUAAUCAAGGCUGAGGUGUGAUGACGAGGCACUACGGUGCUGAAGUAACAAAUGCCCUGCUUCCAGGAAAAGCCUCUAAGCAUCAGGUAACACGAAAUCGUACCCCAAACCGACACAGGUGGUCAGGUAGAGAAUACCAAGGCGCUUGAGAGAACUCGGGUGAAGGAACUAGGCAAAAUGGUGCCGUAACUUCGGGAGAAGGCACGCUGGUGUGUAGGUGAAGCCCCUGCGGGUGGAGCUGAGACCAGUCGAAGAUACCAGCUGGCUGCAACUGUUUAUUAAAAACACAGCACUGUGCAAACACGAAAGUGGACGUAUACGGUGUGACGCCUGCCCGGUGCCGGAAGGUUAAUUGAUGGGGUUAUCCGUAAGGAGAAGCUCUUGAUCGAAGCCCCGGUAAACGGCGGCCGUAACUAUAACGGUCCUAAGGUAGCGAAAUUCCUUGUCGGGUAAGUUCCGACCUGCACGAAUGGCGUAAUGAUGGCCAGGCUGUCUCCACCCGAGACUCAGUGAAAUUGAACUCGCUGUGAAGAUGCAGUGUACCCGCGGCAAGACGGAAAGACCCCGUGAACCUUUACUAUAGCUUGACACUGAACAUUGAGCCUUGAUGUGUAGGAUAGGUGGGAGGCUUUGAAGCGUGGACGCCAGUCUGCGUGGAGCCAACCUUGAAAUACCACCCUUUAAUGUUUGAUGUUCUAACGUUGGCCCCUGACCGGGGUUGCGGACAGUGUCUGGUGGGUAGUUUGACUGGGGCGGUCUCCUCCCAAAGCGUAACGGAGGAGCACGAAGGUUAGCUAAUCCUGGUCGGACAUCAGGAGGUUAGUGCAAUGGCAUAAGCUAGCUUGACUGCGAGCGUGACGGCGCGAGCAGGUGCGAAAGCAGGUCAUAGUGAUCCGGUGGUUCUGAAUGGAAGGGCCAUCGCUCAACGGAUAAAAGGUACUCCGGGGAUAACAGGCUGAUACCGCCCAAGAGUUCAUAUCGACGGCGGUGUUUGGCACCUCGAUGUCGGCUCAUCACAUCCUGGGGCUGAAGUAGGUCCCAAGGGUAUGGCUGUUCGCCAUUUAAAGUGGUACGCGAGCUGGGUUUAGAACGUCGUGAGACAGUUCGGUCCCUAUCUGCCGUGGGCGCUGGAGAAUUGAGGGGGGCUGCUCCUAGUACGAGAGGACCGGAGUGGACGCAUCACUGGUGUUCGGGUUGUCAUGCCAAUGGCACUGCCCGGUAGCUAAAUGCGGAAGAGAUAAGUGCUGAAAGCAUCUAAGCACGAAACUUGCCCCGAGAUGAGUUCUCCCUGAGACUAUAAGUCUCCUGAAGGAACGUUAAAGACGAUGACGUUGAUAGGCCGGGUGUGUAAGCGCAGCGAUGCGUUGAGCUAACCGGUACUAAUGAACCGUGAGGCUUAACCUU